UGCUGAUAUAUUCCUUGGCUGAUUUAAUGACCUGUUUAAUUCUGGCACGUCUGCGUUCCUCUCAGAUGUUUUGCAGUUUUAAUUAGUGUAAUCAACGCUUUUUAAAAGGCCACAGGGAUGUUUAAUGGGUCAUGUUUGUCAAGAUGCAGAGAAUUAUAACACAAAAGACAUGCCAUUUAUUCAGUGCUGCAGUCUUCCCGUGAUUAUGAGUGUCACAAUUGAUAAUUAGUGAAAGAAUUGAUUCAUCUGAAAGUCAGGAUGUCUAUGGUGUGAGGAAAUUACUUUGACAGUGUUUGGAUGAGCUGUGUUUGUUCUGCAGUGCGGCUGCUGUAGGAACACUUCACCACUCAAACCAAUAACCAAGGCAAGCACCAUGCUCACACUCACGGCUGCCUCUGGGUGGGGAGUCAGGAUACUUCUGAGACAGAAGCAACUUUUCAUGGAUUAAAGAGUGGCUAUCAUGUUUCAAACUUCAGGAUUUUGACAGAUGACAUGCAGAAGUUAUUGUCCCAAUUUGAGGCCGAACAGAAGAAAGAGCUUGUCAAACUGUGGAAAUGAGGCCGAGUUAACAUUCACCAUCCACAGUGAUUAAGGCUGAUUCACUGCCCUGCCUCCAGAAUCAAAGUCCAGAGUCGAGUGUGAGGGUUACUUAUACUCACUGUUAAUUAUUUCUCAGUCCAGAUCUCUAAGCAUCAGUUUUAUCAUUUCAAUAACUAAUGGACAAAAAAAUGAAAUGGACUGUCAAUUAAUUUCUUCUUUUGCAAUCAUGAAAUUAUGAAUUAAAACGAUUUCCUAAUGUGCUGAGCAUGCACUCAUCACUAAUUAUGCACUCCUCUUUAUUCUUCAAACCAAGAAUAUCAGUUAGGGCUGACGCAGUGUGCUACCGUCCUGCCUGUCACUAUCAAAACAGAACACAUUGAUAUCGUGUGAAAAUAAGCAAAUGGUAAGACUUUGAGUUCAUAGCUGAGGUAGACAUAAGAAUAAGAGAAUAAGAAGAACUUUAUUAAUCCCUGAAGGGAAAAUGAAUUGUCUGUUGUCUCACAUAAUAUGUCUCUUAAAGUUAUCUACUAUUUACACAAGAGUUAUAAAGCCUGAUGGCUGUUGGUACAAAAGAUCUUCUGAAUCAUUCUGUCCUGCAGCGAAGAGAGAGGAGCCGUCCACCACCAUUGGCCCUUUGGUCCAUCAAGGUGCUGUGAAGUGGGUGAUCCAUGUUCUUGAGAAUAGACUCCACCUUCCUCAGUGUAGAUCUCUCCACCACAUCCUCCACUGAGUCCAGCUUGAGUCCAACCACAGAGCCAGCCUUUUCACCAGUUUGUUCAGACAUCAUGCAUCUUUGUGUUUCAAGUUCAAGUUUCAAGUUUCUUUAAUCGCCACACAGCUAGGCCGGUGGAAUUUUUCACAGUGCAGGUGGUAGCUGCGACAAUACACCACGUUAAUUUAAACAGACAUUGAACAGUUUACAGUGACAAGACAUGACAUAACAUGUGAAACGGGGUACCACGGGACAUAAAACAUAAAACACAGACUUCACACACGUUGACCAUAGGAGUUAAGCAGUCGUAUGGCAAGGGGGAAGAAGGAGUUACUGUAGCGCUUUGUUGAACCGCCCAGAGAUCCUCCUCCCUCCCCAUGCUUCCUCCCCAGCAGACUGCAGCCUAGAACAGCACACUUGCCACCACAGACUGAUAAAACAUCUGCAGCAUCUUACUACAGCUGUCUAUUGAUAGGAGUCUUCUCAGGCAAAAGAGGCGGCUCUGCCCCUUUCUGUAGAUGAAGUCUAUAUUCUUAGACCAGCCCAACUUAUUAUCUAAAUGUACACCCAGGUAUAAGAAAAUAUGUCAAAAUAAAAGCAUGAAAAACAGUCGAUGAAUAAGGCAAUGUCUCAUCUAAAGAAGUUUCAGUGAGACUGCCAUCAAUGUGGAGAAGUCAUGAAUUUUAACAUAAUUAGAAAUGAAUGAUGAGAAGUUAAAUGUAUGUGUUUAAAUUUCCCAUAAACAUCAGGAUAAUAUUGUUGCUGUGAUAUUUUAUGGCCAUAAUUAUUAUUAUUAUUAUUUUUUUAUUAAGUUUCAUGCUUCCACACAAGGGUUUUCCAAACAGUACAAUAGCAAUACAUAUCAUAACAUAACAUACGUAAUUUAUCACGAUCUACAUUCUACCAUGGUGGUGCUGGAAUAACAUGAAACCUUUAUACAUUUGUACACCAACACAAGAAGAACAAAAUAAAACAAAACAAAACAAAAACAUGCAGUAAACUGUUACUGUUUCACCUUACUGUUGUCAUUAGCUAGUGUCUUUUCUGUUGUCAAGUAGUAAUUAUCAUGGCCAUAAUUAUCAUGGAGCGAAAAUCUGAUAUUGUGACAGCCAUAAUAUGUGUGAUCUCACAUGAUGUGGCCAAAUACAUCACAAUUUAAAAUACUGUUGUGAUAUUUAUGAAAAAACAACACAGUGAGUAAAACAGAAAGAGGGUAAAAUAAGGGUGGAGCAACAUCAUAUGUGUGUUUAUAAUGAUAGAAAGUCCAUUAUAUUGACUAGUAAACACAGUCAGUUUAUAUGUCAUCAUCUAUUUCUAAUUAUGUCCAUGUUUAUGCUUAUUGCUCUAUAUCACUAUCCGUGUAACUGAAACUUCAUACGAGCAGACGUUGCCUCAUAAAAAGAUUUUUUUGGUGUGCUUUUAUUUUAAUUUUCUAAAACUAUGUUUUUUAUGAUGUUUAUUUGUUUUCUUAUGUCCCAAAUUUUAUAAUUAAGCUUUUAUUUUGAAGAGUGACUUAGGAACAGUUAAAGGAAUGGCCCAAGGUUGCAUUUGGUUCACAACAAAUCCUUUAAUGUCAGUUGUAAAAGUUCCUGAUCAUCUGGGUUUCUGGUUUUAUAUCAACACAGCGCAGACAUUAAAUCCUAUUCUAUCUUAAGACUGGACAGCAUGAUCUAGAGCAGCUGGAGGGGAUUUAUACUGAGCAAAUGCCUUUAAUGGUGUAAUUAACAUUACCUUGAUUUGUCCCAGGAAAGGCCUCAGUGAGUCGGUCCUGUGUGGUAAUUUAUUGCAGAGUUCCUAUGAAGAACACUCACCCAGUGUACAGCGGGUAAUUGCACACUGGCUUGAUUGUAAAGGGGGAACAGCCCUGGUCUAUUAGUGAUCAGUUUAUAACAUCGAGACUGGGGUUUGUCUGUCACAAAGUGGAGCGACAUUCAACCCUUGGAUCUUUUUUUUUUUUCACACUUCCAUAAAAAAAUUAAACUAAAUAGCAGAUAAAGAGAUAAGAUGGAGCAUUGUUCUCUGCAAUCUUUAUAUCCUUAAUGUGUUUUCUCAGAAAUCAAGUUUUCAAUUUGACAAACAUUUAUGUAAAAUACACAUAUAAGCAACGUAAGUAUAUUAUUUACCAGGAUUCCAUGACAGGUCAUUGUUAGUGAUGAAAAAGUCAGGGUAGAUUUAUUAAAUAAAGAGCUAACUCUUUUUUGGACUUGUGUUAAAAGUCACUUUGUGGCAGAUUUAAAAACACAGAUGCAAUGAUAAAUGCCAUAGGUUGGUGUGUGGGCUCAUAUGUUUCGUGACACCUCAGUGGUGCCAGUGCUGAGGUUGGGCCACCUCAGUCCAAAAGGUCUGACACAAUCCUACCUCUCCACCUACUGUAGUUCAUUACUUUGGCUGAAGGACAGAUGGGUCCAUACCUACUGGAGGGUUCCUGCAGGUUAAAGUUGGAUAACUUUUCAAGGAUGUGUCCAUUUAAGUCAGUGUGGCUCACCCAGAGGCUGUUGCUGCUUCUGCCUUUCCCUAGCAAGUGGUGCAGCCUACAUGGCAUCUGUACUUUGGGCUAGGUCCCAUUCAGACACCACUGGAACAGCCUCUCAGGGCAGGUGGACAGUUGGACCUGGGCUCAAACCUCCAACCUUCAGAUUGAGAUGUCUGAGUCAAUCACUGAACCACCACCCACCACCUCUGGUGUGUGUGUGUGUGUGUGUGUGUGUGUGUGUGUGUGUGUGUGUGUGUGUGUGUGUGUGUGUGUGUGUGUGAGAGAGAGAGAGAACAAUCUUUCACACCUACAAUUCUUUCCAUCCUGUAAUAAACUGACCGACCGACUGACUAAGCGCACCAUGUUUCCUCAAACCUUCAGUCACUGCACUGUUGUCCUCUGCAAGCACUACUGUUGGCCUAUUGAACAGAGGGUUGUCUAACUGUCAGGGCAGGCCAGAUGAGCAAGGAACCAAUUUGUGGCCAAACCCCAGGAAACUACAAACUCUCAGAAGUAAUUCCCUCUAUUCUAAUUCCUUAAAACCUUGUCUCAACACAAACAAUAGCAAGGCUUUGUAAAAGUGACUCUAAAACCUCUGCCAAGCAUAAUUUAUCAUUUGAAUGACAAUGGACCACUUAGCACAGCUUAAAUUAUUUCAGUGCUCUAUCUCUUCUUGACUGUCUUUGUGUUGUAACAGCGGACGAUCAUUAACGCCACAGGGUGAUUCGGUGCGCUCUUAUCUCAGACUUGGUCCUCAGAGUUUACUCAGAUAGAAACUGCUCAGCCAUGGCAGCAACAACUUCUGUCUUUAUUCCAAGACAGUUUCAGUCAUGACUUAUUAGAUAGAAGUGUGACAGAAUAAACAAUGAAGAGAGUAAAACUAUAAAGGCUUUGUUAUGUAAGACAUGAAAAUUAGGAAUACACCAAAAAUAUGGCCAGGGUAUCUGUUUGGGCUCUUCUGAAGGAUAAUGACAAUCGGAUAACACUUGACAUAAAUCCUAAGGCUUAAUAACAAUCAUUAUAGUGUAUUAACAACUAACAGCAAUGUUCAUGAAGUGUUUUGAGCAGUCAACAUAAUGUCUUAUGAAGAGAGGGUUUAUAAUGCGUCAUACUUGAACACAAAACUAUCUUUUAAUCUCUACAUUUCAUAACUUAUAACUCCAACAACUUUAUCAAGUUAUAAAAGUUCAUAGAAAACUCAUUCAGGGUAUAAAUAAAAUGAUCCCUUUGUACCAUUUUGACUGAAAUAUCCUUUUUAUUUCAACAAAGUAUGAGCCUUUAAAAUGUUGUCUGUUUUUGUAUGAAUUGUAUAGAGUAAAGCAGACAUUUUUCACUUUAAGAAAGAAGCCUUUUUCAAAACAUGAAUAUUGCUGAAAUUGUGUUUUUUGUCUUUGUUUGAGCCAGUGCCGCUGUGCGUUGGGUAUUGUUACUGUGGUACUUUACUAAAAGCAAAUAAAGGAAGUUAUCAAUGAAUGACUUUGUUAUUCAGGAAUGUGUUUAAUAAGUGUGCGAUUACCUGAAUUAUAAAAUCUUCUAAAAUUAGAAAGAGCCUCUUUCAGUACCACUGUGUUUCAACCACAGCGCAAAAUGGAGCAAACUUACACUUUUUUAUCACCAUUGAGUGGCAGUGUAAACUGCACCCGCUGGAGGACAAAGAUGGAGAGAGUAGUUGAUGGUGUGCAGGGGUGAAGCGUCUUCAUACCAAACUGGUUCAGUACAGGACAAAUGGAUCAGACCGAAGUGUUUUGUUGAUACUGUUCAGCAGCAGUCGAAUCCAUCACAGGACACAAGUUCAACUUGUUACCACAUUUGAAGUGGCACCACACGGAUGUAAACAUUAAGAAUAAAAAUAACUUUAUUUUAUCCCGAAGGGAAAUUCAAUAUUACUGUCAUUACUGUCACAAGGAAAAAGUUGCUGUUGUUCAAAUACAGCUGCCUCUGACAUUUCAACAGACAUUACCUCUGUGAUUCAGAGCAGGUGGUGGUGGGGUUUAAUAUCCUUAUUUUCAUCCAAAAUGUUAGGAAAGAAAUAAGAGUGGAUCUGUAAGGCUAAAUUACUGCUGCUGCUGCUGCACUUCAGUCAAUGUAAAAGGGAAACUCUGUGAGUUCUUAAUAAAGGUCAAGAGGUUUUUUGCAUAUGUGCGUAUGUUUCUCUUAUUGCACCCAAACUGAACCGAAGUGAGACUUCAAA